UAGGGAAUCUUCCACAAUGGACGCAAGUCUGAUGGAGCAACGCCGCGUGAGUGAAGAAGGUUUUCGGAUCGUAAAGCUCUGUUGUUGGUGAAGAAGGAUAGAGGUAGUAACUGGCCUUUAUUUGACGGUAAUCAACCAGAAAGUCACGGCUAACUACGUGCCAGCAGCCGCGGUAAUACGUAGGUGGCAAGCGUUGUCCGGAUUUAUUGGGCGUAAAGCGAGCGCAGGCGGAAGAAUAAGUCUGAUGUGAAAGCCCUCGGCUUAACCGAGGAACUGCAUCGGAAACUGUUUUUCUUGAGUGCAGAAGAGGAGAGUGGAACUCCAUGUGUAGCGGUGGAAUGCGUAGAUAUAUGGAAGAACACCAGUGGCGAAGGCGGCUCUCUGGUCUGCAACUGACGCUGAGGCUCGAAAGCAUGGGUAGUGAACAGGAUUAGAUACCCUGGUAGUCCAUGCCGUAAACGAUGAGUGCUAAGUGUUGGGAGGUUUCCGCCUCUCAGUGCUGCAGCUAACGCAUUAAGCACUCCGCCUGGGGAGUACGACCGCAAGGUUGAAACUCAAAGGAAUUGACGGGGGCCCGCACAAGCGGUGGAGCAUGUGGUUUAAUUCGAAGCAACGCGAAGAACCUUACCAGGUCUUGACAUCUAGUGCCAUUUGUAGAGAUACAAAGUUCCCUUCGGGGACGCUAAGACAGGUGGUGCAUGGCUGUCGUCAGCUCGUGUCGUGAGAUGUUGGGUUAAGUCCCGCAACGAGCGCAACCCUUGUUAUUAGUUGCCAGCAUUAAGUUGGGCACUCUAAUGAGACUGCCGGUGACAAACCGGAGGAAGGUGGGGAUGACGUCAAGUCAUCAUGCCCCUUAUGACCUGGGCUACACACGUGCUACAAUGGGCAGUACAACGAGAA
rnacentral:rRNA from 1 species